AUUGAACGCUGGCGGCAUGCUUUACACAUGCAAGUCGAACGGUAACAGGCCUUCGGGUGCUGACGAGUGGCGAGCGGGUGAGUAAUGCAUCGGAACGUACCCAGAGGUGGGGGAUAACGCAGCGAAAGCUGUGCUAAUACCGCAUGUGAUCUGAGGAUGAAAGCGGGGGACCGAGCAGCAAUGUUUGGCCUCGCGCCUUUGGAGCGGCCGAUGUCGGAUUAGCUAGUUGGUGGGGUAAAGGCCUACCAAGGCGACGAUCCGUAGCUGGUCUGAGAGGACGACCAGCCACACUGGGACUGAGACACGGCCCAGACUCCUACGGGAGGCAGCAGUGGGGAAUUUUGGACAAUGGGCGCAAGCCUGAUCCAGCAAUGCCGCGUGCGGGAAGAAGGCCUUCGGGUUGUAAACCGCUUUUGGCAGGAACGAAACGGUGUCCGCUAAUACCAGGCGCUAAUGACGGUACCUGCAGAAUAAGCACCGGCUAACUACGUG
rnacentral:rRNA from 1 species